GCUCUUGCCCAGGCUGGAGUGCAGUGGCGCAACCUUGGCUCACUGCAACCUCCACCUCCUGGGGUCAAAUGAUUCUCCUGCCUCAGCCUCCUGAGUAGCUGGGAAUAUAGGCGUACACCACCAUGCCCAGCUAAGUUUUUUUUUUUUUUUUGAGACGGAGUCUCGCUCUGUCGCCCAGGUCGGAGUGCAGUGGUGCGAUCUUGGCUCACUGCAAGCUCCGCCUCCUGGGUUCACGCCAUUCUCCUGCCUCAGCCUCCCGAGUAGCUGGGACUACAGGCGCCCGCCACCAUGCCCAGCUAAUUUUUAUUUUUUAUUUUUUAUUUUUAUUUUUGUAUUUUUAGUAGAGAUAGAGUUUCACCAUGUUAGCCAGGAUGGUCUCGAUCUCCUGACCUCGCGAUCCGCCUGUCUUGGCCUCCCAAAGUGCUGGGAUUACAGGCGUGAGCCACCGCGCCUGGCCAUUUUUUGUAUUUUUAGUAGAGAUGGGGUUUCACCAUGUUGGCCAGGCUGGUCUCGAACUCCUGAGUUCAGGUGAUCUGCCCGCCUUGGCCUCCCAAAGUGCUGGGAUUACAGGCGUGAGCUGAUUUCCUGUCCAUCAAGCUGGUAGCUUCAGUGGCUGUGAGGGCGUGGGUGUGGUGGCCAUAGCCACAGCAUUUGGUGGCUUUGAUAAUGGCCAGAUGACAGAGGUAUCUGGAACAGAGGGGAGCAGGGGUCACAGCGAUGGACAGUGGCCAUGGUGAUGGCGGCCAGGGUGGUGGACAUCGCCCUGUGAGGUGGCCGUAGCCAUGCAUGGAGCGUGCCCCGUCUCACCUGGCAUCUCUUGCUUUAGCAUUGGAGGAGCCGGUGCCCGAUGACCGCUAUCACGCCAUCUACUUUGCGAUGCUGCUGUCUGGUGUGGGCUUCCUGCUGCCAUACAACAGCUUCAUCACGGACGUGGACUACCUGCAUCACAAGUACCCAGGGACCUCCAUUGUGUUUGACAUGAGCCUCACCUACAUCUUGGUGGCGCUGGCAGCCGUGCUCCUGAACAACGUCCUGGUGGAGAGACUGACCCUGCACACCAGGAUCACCGCAAGCUACCUCUUAGCCUUGGGCCCUCUCCUUUUUAUCAGCAUCUGUGACGUGUGGCUGCAGCUCUUCUCUCGGGACCAGGCCUAUGCCAUCAACCUGGCUGCUGUGGGCACCGUGGCCUUCGGCUGCACAGGUAGGAACUGGGGCCCAAGGGGGAGGCCCUGAGUGCCCACUUCCAACCCCAUCCCACCCCAGCCCUGGUCUCCUGCUGGUGGCAUGUGACAUGACAGGAGCCGGGCUGGCUGACUGCCAGGUGUGUGUCCACCUGCAUGCCAGCGUGCACACCUGCACACCGA
rnacentral:lncRNA from 1 species